UAUUUUUAAUAGCUUGUUACAGUUACAUCAUGCAUUACAGGUAGUACAAUACAUUAAAGGAACAAGAAAUUCAAUAGCAAGCGGUUAGACUGGAAUGGAGAAAUGUACAAUUUUAUAGAGAACAGUUUGUGAAAGAUGAUAUUAGUAUUAUUAUAUUAUUAUUAUGAAUUAGUAAAUAGUACAACGUAUGAAAAUGAUGUGUGUUCAUCAACAUGCUUUUCUUUAGAUGAACUGGAACCGAUUGACGGAAAUACCGACGAUGAUGGGGACAAUGAUGGAGACAGUGACGAUGAUGGGGACGAUGAUGGAGAUGAAGUGGCAGAACCUGUCCCUGGACUGCAGGGACUGGAUCCAUGUGUGUCCAGAUUGCUGCAGCAUCCUGUCUAUAGAAUCAGAUUUUUAUUUACUUGACAUGAUUGAUUGAUGGAUGGAUGGAUGUAAAAUCCUCAAGGUGCGGUAUGUAGUUUUCAUAUCGAGAUAUUGUGAAAAUCUACACACUGGCUUCUCCUCUCUCUCUCUCUCUCUAUCUCACUGUCUCUACAUAUAUAAAUAUAUAUAUUAAAGUGCUGGGAAAGUUACACGUUACACAAUGAUAAGCAGACCGCGGCCUGUCCGGUUGUGGGUCCGAUCCCCAGCUCCUGGUGCUGUAUUUUGUUUACCCUUUAUCUAUCCAGAUAAAAACAUUAAGAACAGUUUCUGUAUGAUGUUUAUUAGACCUAUGUAAUCUGAAUUGGAAGGGCACGUUGUCAUGAGCUGUAUCUUGUAUAUUUAUUAUUAGCUAUGUGGUAUGUCUAUGCACCUUUAUGUAAUCUGGUGGAAAAACAUUAAAACCGGAUCAUACCAAACAAAUAUCUGCUUGCGUGUCCCUGUGUAUGCAAAGUGUCCUCCUUUUUGAUGUGAAGGAAAUUACAUCUUCCUAAGUCCGUGAUAAACUUCAGUACAUCCAGAACUCUGCAGCUCGCCUGCUUAAACAUACCCGCUCCCAUGACCACAUCACCCCUGUCCUACAGAACCUCCACUGGCUCCCUGUCCAACAACAGAUCCAAUUUAAAGUCCUCCUCACUCACAAAACCCUUCACAACCAGGCCAACCUCCUGUAUCCACCAUUGAGGACCAAGCAUCGUACCUGCAGUGAAAGAGCCUUCUCCAAUGCUGCCCCCUCCCUCUGACUGUACUGAUCCAUCCAUCUUCAAAUCACUGAUCAAAACCCACCUUUUCAGAAUUUAUUAAUUAAUUGUUGAGUGUUGUAGAUAUAGCUAUAAUUUCUUAGUGUGUUGUUUUUAUUACCUUUUUCUUUUCCUAUUUACCUUAUGUGAAGUGCCUUUGAGUUUCUUGGAAGGGGCUCUAUAAAUUAAAUGUAUUACUAUUAUUAUUAUGUUACGUAACUUUAAUAACUUACAUUACAUACAUGACGCUACAUACUUAUUUUUUACCUGAACCAUGAUCUUUUCUUGAACCUAACUUGAACUUGAACUCAAAAAGUGAAAUGUUUCUCAACUUUAUUUAGAAAGUCUAGCUAGACGUUGCAUACUAACUUGACUGUGGAGCCCUGUGUGUGCAAAACUGAUGCUAGAGGCUACAUAGCGUGUCCUAGUUUGAAGUGGAGGACCACUGACCAAGCUUACGGCCAUACCAUCUUGACGAAUUGGGUGUGAGAACGUGUUGCCUGAAGAUAGCUUUAGCUCGCUAGCAAGAGAGGGUAGUGACACAUUCACAUUCAACACACAUUCUAAAAAGGUACAUGUGCACAGACAGAGAUUCAUGGAAAUAUUGUUGUUUUGGCAACCAUUUAAAUUUUUUAUGAAGCUGGUGGUUUGUAUGAAUGUGUGAAGAUCACUUUUGACUAUGUACACAACUAUAAAGUCAAACGGGAUCUUAAACACUAGCAGACCAAAGCUGGACCUUAAAGGUAAUCACUGCAGACAUUUUGAUACUAACCAUCACUCCUGUGGAAGUGAUGGUCACUGCUGUAUCCAUCAGAUUAAUCCAGCAUCUCAUACCUCAUGGCGGAGUGCACUGGCAGAGGAACGUUUGCAGCGUGUCCAGCCUCAGUGUGCCUCAUUCUGCUCGCUAAUGAGACCCACAGCGAGUCUUUAAACCAUCUGCUCCGAGACCUGACCAUCUAAACGCCAGGCCAACCCUGUUAAAAGGUUGGCUAAAGGCUCCUUUCUCCCUUUCUGUCCUUUUCUGUCCUCCUCUCUCUAUCUCUGUCAUUCUCCAUUUCACAGACUUACGCCCCUCUCUGCUCAUCCAUCCAUUCUUCCCCUGCUUGUCCUUUCCUGUCUAACUGCCCCCCAUCUCCCCAGUCUGUCUGUCUCUUCCCGGCCCUCACCCCCUUUAUGUCUCUCUCUUCCCCUGAGGUUGAGCUACCAAUUAUGAUAAAAUGAACCGUGACAGCCUGGACAUCUGCUGAAGAGUGGACUCUAUUGAGGGGAUUCAUUCUGUUGUCUGCCAAAAUACAUAGAGAGCAGCAGAAUGAUAAACUGAGAUGUCCAAGGACCAGGUCGGGAUAAAUUCUAACAGUAGUCAAAUGUGAGAGAUGGAUCUGAAUCAGACAUAUGUUCUGCUGUCAAAACUAUAUAAUGUACUGAUGGACGUGAUAAAUGCUAUCAACAAAGAAGAACUUUCAUAAUACCUCUACCACUGAUUAAAAGAGAUUGAACUAUCCCAUCCUUGUAUCCUACAAUAUAUGUUUAUCUACUACUAAAAAGCUUUGCCAAAUACAUUUUGGAGGAAACCUAAUUCCCACAUUGAUGAUGUAGCUGGCAAAGUGUUAUCCAACAUAAAAAACAGUUUAAGAGAGGAGGUUGGGGAUAAAAAGUGAAGGACUGCAGCCAGAGAUGGGUUAGCAUUGUGCAUCCAACAAGUAUUUAGACCAGUCUCAUGCCAAAGCGUGUAAUAGCCAAUCCACACAAGGAUACCGUGUCAGUGUCACAUUUUUCCUCACAUAGACGUAAAAAGUACAUGCAUGUGUGAAGGUGCAGUACCAGUAGUAGUAUAAAGAACUAUGACCCAGAGACUGAGUGAAACCAAAGUUUGACCUGUCAGGUACAACUGCAACCUCAGCAAACAUUAUUUUGAAAAUCUAACCGGAUUUAUUUAUUAUUGUUGAAAAUGUGACACAGUCAAGCCUAGAUGAUGCCUAAAUAUAGCCAUACAAAUGUUAAUUAUGCUUAACUUAGCACGGUUGAUAUUGUAGAAAAACAAAUAACAUGUUAAUACAUGUUCAGUAUUAACAUUUUUGCUAGUUACAUACAUUGAGUACAACAUGGAUAUUAACAUUUACACAUUUUUUUUUUUUACAACAGUUAUAUUAAUGCAUCAUUAGUUAUGAUUAUAUAAUAUAAUAUAUAUUAGUGAAAUGUUCACAUUCUGAAUAAUUUUACUUUUGGUACUUUAAGUUUAUAUCGAUGCAGUGGAAGAGCAUGAGGGCCACAUGUGAAAAAAGAGUUCUCAGCCCCCUAUCUCAGAGCAAAUAAAUGUUUCACAUGUAAUGUUUUCACAUCUAAUCCUGUAGAAUACAUUUCCCGGAUAAACUUUGUUUUACUUGAGUCAGUUUUUGAAUGAAAGACUUGUAUUUGUACACUGAUUGGCUGAUAUUUGAGUCAUCCUCCCACCAUUGGUUGUAUAAGAAUGCAAUUAUUCAGAUAUAGGACUGUAUCUUCAAAUAUUCAUACCAAAAACAUAAAAAAUCAUGAGAUAUGAUAAUAUAGUAUGUUGUUAGAUAAUACAUUAUUGAUCUUCCGGGGGAAAUUUGUGUUACAGCAGCACAAGAAACAGUGUUUGUGUGUUGGUGCAUGAAUACGAUGUAUGGAAUCACAUGAGACUUUGGAUAGAUUUCCAAUCCUCUCUGUUACACUACAUAUUACAGACAUCAUCUUAAUCUCAUCAUCAUAUUAAAACAACUCAUGACAAGUCAUGACUAAUUCAUC
rnacentral:lncRNA from 15 species